AACGUAGGGGACAAGCGUUAUCCGGAUUUACUGGGCGUAAAGCGCCCGUAGGCGGCCUGACAAGUUGGACGUGAAAGCUCCUGGCUUAACUGGGAGAGGCCGUUCAAAACUGUCAAGCUAGAGUCUGGAAGAGGAGAGCGGAAUUCCCGGUGUAGUGGUGGAAUGCGCAGAUAUCAGGAAGAACACCAAUGGCGAAGGCAGCUCUCUGGGACGGUACUGACGCUGAGACGCGAAAGCGUGGGGAGCGAACAGG
rnacentral:rRNA from 1 species